AAUUCUUUGUCAAGAGGGGAGCUGAAAACAUUUUGGAUACAAUAGGCUGCUGGUGUAAAAAAAAGAGCAGGUGGGGGCUUAAGGAAUUUUCAAGUGCUAAAUUAGCUGCAAGCGGACUCCCCAGUCAUUUUCAGAACAAUAGAAAUGUUCUACCUAUCCAACCUGGCAUCUAUAGUGAGCCUCUCGCCAUGGUUAGCAACCAAAGACUACAUGAGUGAAUGACAAUGACCACUUAAAUUACAAACUCUGUUACAAUUGUACUUGAAUUAGUAUUUCUAACAACUUUUUUCUGCCAUUGGAGGGAUUUAUAGAUUAAUUCUUCCUACUUGUAUAAAGACAAAUAUUUUUAAAAAUAAUAAAGCUGUGCAAAAAUUACUCUCAUCACAAGACACUCCAAAUCCAGGUGUCCUGUUUGUUAAGGGAUUACUAUUAACUGCUAUUAGUAGUCGGGUAACAACACAGUCAGGGCUGCCAGAGUUUAGCAGCACCAUCUUGUGGAAAAGCACAGAAAAUAGCAGCACUAGAGGUGACCACGGUGAACCCUAAACACAGCAAAGAUGUGGUUUGAGCAAACUUGAAACAAAGGGUGAUGAAAUGAGCAAGAUGAACUUCAAGAAUGAGGUCAAAAGGCUCCUGGAAAAGUAUAAGAACCUUGGGACACAAUCCUACUUCAUCUCAGAUCUGCUUUGGGUUUCAAGAGGGGGGAAACCUUAAGCCACAAGGAUUGAGAUCCCCAGUCAGUGACUGGAGUCACCCUGAAUAUGGACAUUGGACUAUAACCUAUGGACUAUAUCUAAAAGGACUUUUGGCAACUACAAGCUCACCUCUGCUAUGUAUCUGAACCUCAAGAAUUGAAUUCAAUGUAUGUAUAUUGA